rnacentral:rRNA from 1 species
GACGAACCGUGCGAACGUUAUUCGGAAUCACUGGGCUUAAAGCGCAUGUAGGCGGGCCGGCACGUCGGCCGCUGAAAUCCCCCGGCUCAACCGGGGAACGGGCGCCGAUACGACCGGCCUGGAGCGAGGUAGGGGGCGCCGGAACUCACGGUGGAGCGGUGAAAUGCGUUGAGAUCGUGAGGAACGCCCGUGGCGAAAGCGGGCGCCUGGACCUCCGCUGACGCUGAGACGCGAAAGCCAGGGGAGCGAACGGG